AACUAACGCUGGCGGCGUGCCUAACACAUGCAAGUCGUACGAGAAAGUUGGCUUCGGCCGAUGAGUAAAGUGGCGCACGGGUGAGUAACGCGUGGAUAAUCUACCCCUCAGUUGGGAAUAACUCAUCGAAAGGUGGGCUAAUACCGAAUAAUACUGCAUGACUUCUGUUGUGUAGUCAAAGAUGGCCUCUGCUUGCAAGCUAUCGCUGAAGGAUGAGUCCGCGUACCAUUAGCUAGUUGGUAGGGUAAUGGCCUACCAAGGCAACGAUGGUUAGCUGGUCUGAGAGGAUGAUCAGCCACACUGGAACUGAGACACGGUCCAGACUCCUACGGGAGGCAGCAGUGAGGAAUAUUGCGCAAUGGGGGCAACCCUGACGCAGCAACGCCGCGUGAGUGAGGAAGGUUUUCGGACCGUAAAGCUCUGUCGAGCGGGAAGAAAUGCAUAGUGGCUAAUAUCCAUUAUGCUUGACGGUACCGCUAAAGGAAGCACCGGCUAACUCCGUG
rnacentral:rRNA from 1 species